UACAGAGGUCUCAAGCGUUGUUCGGAUUCAUUGGGCGUAAAGGGUGCGUAGGUGGCAUGGUAAGUCGGAUGUGAAAUCCCGGGGCUCAACCCCCGGAACUGCAUUCGAUACUGCUGAGCUAGAGUACUGGAGAGGAGAUUGGAAUUUACGGUGUAGCAGUGAAAUGCGUAGAUAUCGUAAGGAAGACCAGUGGCGAAGGCGGAUCUCUGGACAGUUACUGACACUGAGCACGAAGGCCAGGGGAGCAAACAGG
rnacentral:rRNA from 1 species